AUAUGUAAUAAAACAUGAAGAUGUCAGAUAUAAAGGAUGGCUAUUGCUCAGACUUGUCCUUUGCUUGUCUGGUUAUCCAUCAAACACUAUCAGCCUGAUUGUGCCAGAAAGUAUGAAAUAAUGUCAUUUGAAAGCAAUCAGUCAAAUGAUGUCAAGGUCUUUUAAAAGUCUCAACUAGCUGUUCUGAUAUCACAGGAUGUUUUACAAAUAUGAUAUACUGAAAUGAUUACUCUUAGGAAAUGUAUCUUUAAACAUGCUUUCUUUAGCCCUUUCUUGAUUUGAUACCUUGUGCUUUGAUUCAGAUGGGAUAGGUGCACUUAAUAGUAUGUCAUAGUGGUCUAGAAUCCAAACCCUGUAUACUAUAACUUGCAAGAAAUAUUAGCUAGGGUCCAUUCCAUCACUAAAAUGUCAGCUUAUAGUUUGGGGCAGUCAGAGCAAUAGGCAAUUUUUAUAGCCACAUUAUUAAAAAACAAAAAAAGAAAACCUUCUCUAGCUAAGCCAGCAGGUAAGGAUUCUUUCAGUUUUGAGACCAGCAUUUCUUCUUUACCAUAGAAUCUAGUAAUUAUCUCGAACCUUAAAAAUAAUAGAAAAGGUCAUAACCUGAAAGGAAAUAAGGAAUAAGAAAAAUACCUGUUUUUCUUAGGAAAAUAGAAUUUUGCAUGCAGUUUAAAUUUACUACGUGAUUUAAAUUAAUAAUGAAAUGGUUCGUUUUUAUAUACUAAGUAAAUUAAAUUCAGGAGCUUGGGUCUGUGUUCUUAAAGGGAUUGUAUAUUAUUUGAAAUGAGAAAUGAGAAGACAUCAGUGAUUCAGGUUGUUACUUGUGAUGAUGCCUAAUUUUGAAAAAAAUAAAAGGAAGAAAGAAAAGAAUAGCAUUUGGGGUACCCUGCUGUGUUUGUUGCAGCAUUUCAAAAUACAUUUAUUUCAUAUUCCUACUUACUUCCUUAAUCAUAUUGAUGAAUUUUGUCUCUAAGUUUAUGAUAAACCCUUUUGAAAAUGCAUCUUAUCUAAUAGAAUACUGAGGUGAGAAGUCCAGUUGGCAUUGUUUAAAUGAAUGUCUUUACCACAGUAAAGAGAUUAUACUUUUCUAUUUCCUUUUCAUAAUUAGAGUUUGUCACUGAUUUUUAUGUCCUAGCAAUGGAAAUUAUUUUUCCUAUUCUGAUUUGUUUUCAAUAUAAUCAGAAGUUCUAUAAUUAAUCACAAGACUCUAAUUUUGUGUAAUUGGAAGCUAGUCAAAUAUGUCAAGAAGCUCAUGCCAGAAGGGCCUAAAUAUACAAAUUCUUUAUUAGAGGAUAGAAAUUAUAUAAUAGUUUUAUUUUUUUUUUUAAGUUUAUUUGAGAGAGAGAGAGAGAGAGAGAGAGAGAAAGCAUGAGUCAGAGAGGAGCAGAGAGAGAAAGUGGGGGGGGGGGAGAGAAAGAGAGAAUCCCAAGAAGGGCCCAUGCAGUCAGCACAGAGCCCGAUGGGGGCUCAGACCCCUGAACCAUGUGAUCAUGACCUGAGCCAAAGUCGGACACCUAACUGACUGAAGCACCUUUUAGAGGAAAACUGUAGGACUACUUAAUGAAUCCAAAAAUAGUGCAGUAUCUCGCUUCAGGUUAGAGAAAGAAGCUAUGAAUGAGAUGUGAAGGAGCACUGGGCUUUUUUACAUUUAAUUAAAGCCACUUGCUAUAUCUACAAAGUCAGAGUCUCUAUCAAGGAAGAAAUCAAGGUGUUUUAAGACAGCAAGAAAAUUAGGUCAUAAAGGCAAGAAAAAGUAGCUGAAGUACUAAACAAAUGAAUACAUUUUGCAGCAUCUGUUAACAUAAAUGUUAGAAAUAUGUUGUUAGCCAUCUGGGGCUACCAUGCUUGAACUAUACAUUUGGAUCAGUGAUUUGAAGUUCAGCUGUGGAAGGAAAUGGAACUCUUAAGUAUCCUUGUUGAUCAGUUGUUUUUAACAACCCAAGACCCUCCAUUUCUUCAAGGGCCUUCCCAAGGACAGUGUUUUGUCACAUAAUACAUCGCUGUUACUGAUGAUUUAAUAAAAAUCCUGUCCACUCCCUCUUUUCAAAAUUUAUUUUAUUUUUAUUUUUUUAUCAAUUUAAUUUAUUUUUUAAAUUUACAUUCAAGUUAGCAUAUAGUGGAACGAAGAUUUCAGGAGUAGAUUCCUUAAUGCCCCCUACCCAUUUAGGCCACACACCCCCCCCCCCCCCACAACUCCUCUAGUAAUCCUCUGUUUGUUCUCCAUAUUUAAGAAUCUUUUUUGUCCCCCUCCCUGUUUUUAUAUUAUUUUUCUUUCCCUUCCCUUAUGUUCAUCUGUUUUGUCUGUUAAUGUCGUCAUAUGAGUGAAGUCAUAUAUUUGUCUUUCUCUGAUUGAUUUCACAUAGCAUAAUACCCUCUAGUUCCAUCCAUGUAGUUGUGAAUGGCAAGAUUUCAUUCUUUUUGAUUGCCGAGUAUACUCCAUUGUGUGUGUGUGUGUGUAUGUAUAUAUAUAUAUAUAUAUAUAUAUAUAUAUAUAUAUAUACAUACACACACUACAUCUUCUUUAUCCAUUCAUCCAUUGAUGGACAUUUGAGCUCUUUCCAUACUUUGGCUAUUGUUGAUAGUGCUGCUAUAAACACGGGGGGUGCAUGUGUCCCUUCAAAACAGCAUAUAGUCCCUUCAAAACAACCUAAUAGUGCAAUUGCUGGGUUGUAAGGUAGUUCUAUUUCUAGUUUUUUGAGGAACCUCCAUACUGUUUUCCAGAGUGGCUGCACCAGUUUGCAUUCCCACUAGCAGUGCAAAAGAGAUCCUCUUUCUCUGCAUCCUUGCCAACAUCUGUUGUUGCCUGAGUUGUUAAUGUUAGCCAUUCUGACAGGUGUGAGGUGGUAUCUCAUUGUGGUUUUGAUUUGUAUUUCCCUGAUGAUGAGAGAUAUUGAGCAUUUUUUCAUGUGUUAGUUGGCCAUCUGAUGUCUUCUUUGGAGAAGUGUCUGUAAAUUCUUCAUAGAUUUUGGAUACUAACCCUUUAACUGAUAUGUCAUUUGCAAAUAUCUUCUCCCAUUCUGUAGGCUACCUGUGCUUUUUAUUUUGAUGAGGUCCCAGUAGUUCAUUUUUACUUUUGUUUCCCUUGCCUUCGGAGACAUGUUGAGUAAGAAGUUGCUGUGGCCAAGAUCAAAGAGGUUUUUGCCUGCUUUCUCCUCGAGGAUUUUGAUGGCUUCCUGUCUUACAUUGGUGUCUUUCAUCCAUUUUGAGUUUAUUUUUGUGUAUGAUGUAAGAAAGUGGUCCAGGUUCCUUUUCUGCAUGUCGCUGUCCAGUUUUCCCAGCACCACUUGCUGAAGAGACUGUCUUUAUUCCAUUGGAUAGUCUUUUCCUGCUUUGUUAAAGAUUAGUUGGCCAUAUGUUUGUGGGUCCAUUUCUGGGUUCUCUAUUCUGUUUCAUUGAUCUGAGUGUCUGUUCUUGUGCCAGUACCAUACUGUCUUGAUGAAUACAGCUUUGUAAUACAGUUUGAAGUCCGGGAUUGUGAUGCCUCCUGCUUUGGUUUUCUUUUUCAAGAUUAAUUUGGCUAUUCGGGGUUUUUUCUGGUUCCAUACAAAUUUUAGGAUUGUUUGUUCUAGCUCUGUGAAGAAUGCUGGUGCUGUUUUGAUAGAUACUAUCCACCCCCUUUGCUACACUCCCUAUUGCUCUAUCUCUACUUCCAAGUGUUAGUAAAAGUCCAUGUCAACGGAAAAAGAAUUCUUGUAGAAAAUUAAAAUAUGUACUUAGACAUACAUAUCUUUUGUGUCUUCACUUUACUAAUGAACAUAAUUGUAGACCCUUUGACAUUAGUUUUAGAUUAUUUAAUAAAUUUAAGUAUGUAAGUGUAGUGCAGAAUAGAUUAUGUUUAAUUAAAAUUUCCAGUAUCAGCAGUGGUACAUUGUUUAGUAAUAUUUAGAAUGGAGAUAAGAUUGCCAAUGUAAUGUGUAGCUUAUGUCUGCCAUUUAUACCAGGAAACAGACUUAGCAGGAAGUUAAAGAAUUGUGGACUGUACUACUUAAAGAAGAUAAAUAGCAUGCACUAUGAAAGCCACUCUUCUGUCUGGGCAGUCUUUUAAACAUUUACUAGAAGCCUAUAGAUGCAGUUGGCAAUUUCAGUGCACAUAGUACAAUUUAUGUGCAUAUUUAGGAAGCUUUAUGAAAAACUUCCACAUAAUAUUUUGCCCAAGAUUCAUGGUUACAAAUAACAAACAGAAAAGGAACAGUUUGGUUGUGGAAAACCCAGAUAAGUAUAUUUCUUACCUUAAAUGGGAAAUUGAGAGAUGUAAAUUUAACUAAAUAUGGUAUAGAUGUUUUGGGAGACAGAAAUGAUGAAUGAAAAUGUAAUGAAUAAGGAACUUUAGAACUUCUGUUACUGCCUCACAAAUUUAUUAAAUGAAUGAAAAACCUAGGAAUUUAAGUGAUUUUUAGAGUCUUUGCAUAUAAAGAUUUAUGGCUGAACAAAUGUCAGUUCUGUCUCUGUGUAAUUGUGGUAGUUAUACAAAAUGAGAGAGAAUGUGGCCAGAGAAAUCCAGCAGGGGCCAGAAUCCUCUCAGCUGACUUCCCUAUCGCAAAUGUAGCACUGGAGAUUUCUUUCAGGGAAGCUGUAAAGAGUAUAGAUGUGGUAUGUUAUGUUUUCUAAAGCUUUAGGAUGGCCAAAUAUUUAUGACUAGAUAUAUUAGGGAAUGUAAAAAGUAUAGAUAGGACAGUAAUGGUACUGUUUUACUCAAUGGUAAAGUAAACAUGUCUAUAGUAAAACCAAGAAGGACAGGUUCUAGAAUCAAAUGCAAAUUUUGGAUAAGUAUGUAAGACAAAUACAUGAGGCUAAAAAAAAUUUGGUGCUUAGGAUACAGAGGUCACCUGUUGCCUUUACUUGGGUGUUCCAGGUGUCUUUGGCUGAACAGUUUAUGAAGCCCUCAUGUGCCUUGGGGAUAAUAUCACUUUUAGGGAUAUUGUGAGGAUAACAGUCUGUAUAGAACUUCUAAUAAAAUGCCCUGCAUGUAGUAAAAACAUGAGGAGUGCUGGCUGUGUUGCUGUUGCCUCCACAAGAGCAGUCCUUUAAGAAGACAAACAGAAGUUUGACAAUGCAUUAUCUCUUGGGUGCCAACAUGAAAAACAAAAUGUGUCAAAUUCCACUUGGCAGAUCUUUGUUUGGCUUGUGAGAAGUCUAAUUGUGAAACUGCUUGCUAUAGUAGCUUGAGAAUUUUGAACCAAAAUUAUUGGAGUAUUUUAGAAGUAAAAUGAUUUUAUGGGUGUUUUACUUUAUGGAAGAAAAUCCAGUGAUCCAUGUACAUUUAUCACUGCAUAUCUCUUAAUACCUUUUUUUUCCUUGCUCAAGCAAUUGUUUUACAUUUCUAAGUGAUGUAGAGCAUCAGUAAGGUGCUUAGGUUAGCCUCUGAAUAACAAGCUUCUUUUCACACCAUAGGUUUCAUGAUCAAAAAUCAGCACUGGGAUGUCUGCUUGCGUUAUUCCCAGGUUUACUCUCUCAGUUCUUCAUAUCAUCCAGACCCCUGAACUGGAAAUAUCUUGUUAACUCUGCACUGUUUAAUAUUCUUUGGCAAUUAAACUACUUGGGCAUGUUUAGAGCUCAAAUGAAAUCUAUGCGUUUUGCUUGACAAGGUUGUUGGUUGGUUUUUAGAGCCUACAUAUUGAAAAUCAUG
rnacentral:lncRNA from 1 species